UCCCUGAUAGCUCAGUUGGUAAAAAAAAAUCUGCCUGCAAUGCAGGAGACCCCAGUUCAAUUUCUGGGUCAGGAAA
rnacentral:tRNA from 1 species